rnacentral:tRNA from 1 species
GGGGUUAUAGUAUAGCUUGGUCUAGUAUCGGCGGUUUGGGACCGCUGGGCCCAGGUUCAAAUCCUGGUAACCCCA